UUAAAAUAGAGAGUUUGAUCCUGGCUCAGGAUGAACGCUGGCGGCGUGCCUAACACAUGCAAGUCGAACGAAGCGUCCCGCCCGAAG
rnacentral:rRNA from 1 species